rnacentral:rRNA from 1 species
CCUACGGGGGGCAGCAGUAGGGAAUCUUCCGCAAUGGACGAAAGUCUGACGGAGCAACGCCGCGUGAACGAUGAAGGCCUUCGGGUCGUAAAGUUCUGUUGUUAAGGAAGAACAAGUACGAGAGUAACUGCUCGUACCUUGACGGUACUUAACCAGAAAGCCACGGCUAACUACGUGCCAGCAGCCGCGGUAAUACGUAGGUGGCAAGCGUUAUCCGGAAUUAUUGGGCGUAAAGCGCGCGCAGGCGGUUUCUUAAGUCUGAUGUGAAAGCCCCCGGCUCAACCGGGGAGGGUCAUUGGAAACUGGGGAACUUGAGUGCAGAAGAGGAGAGUGGAAUUCCACGUGUAGCGGUGAAAUGCGUAGAGAUGUGGAGGAACACCAGUGGCGAAGGCGACUCUCUGGUCUGUAACU